GACAGAGGGUGCAAACGUUGUUCGGAAUUACUGGGCGUAAAGCGCAUGUAGGCGGCAGCGCAAGUCGGGCGAGAAACUCCCACGGCUCAACCGUGGAAGUGCACUCGAAACUGCGCAGCUAGAGUCCUGGAGAGGAAGGUGGAACUGCUUGGUGUAGAGGUGAAAUUCGUGAGAUAUCAAGCGGAACACCAGUGGCGGAAGGCGGCGACUCUAGUACGGUACGUGGAACGCUGAGA
rnacentral:rRNA from 1 species